AUGAACGCUGGCGGCGUGCCUAAUACAUGCCAGUCGAGCGAACAGACGAGGAGCUUGCUCCUCUGACGUUAGCGGCGGACGGGUGAGUAACACGUGGAUAACCUACCUAUAAGACUGGGAUAACUUCGGGAAACCGGAGCUAGUACCGGAUAAUAUAUUGAACCGCAUGGUUCAAUAGUGAAAGACGGUUUUGCUGUCACUUAUAGAUGGAUCCGCGCCGCAUUAGCUAGUUGGUAAGGUAACGGCUUACCAAGGCAACGAUGCGUAGCCGACCUGAGAGGGUGAUCGGCCACACUGGAACUGAGACACGGUCCAGACUCCUACGGGAGGCAGCAGUAGGGAAUCUUCCGCAAUGGGCGAAAGCCUGACGGAGCAACGCCGCGUGAGUGAUGAAGGUCUUCGGAUCGUAAAACUCUGUUAUUAGGGAAGAACAAAUGUGUAAGUAACUAUGCACGUCUUGACGGUACCUAAUCAGAAAGCCACGGCUAACUACGUG
rnacentral:rRNA from 1 species